rnacentral:miRNA from 2 species
UUUGAUGGCUGAUCCUCUCACU